CGCCCGCCUUUGGCUGCGGAGUCGGCUGGUGGAUGUACUCCGGUGACACGCUCUCCAUAGAUGUGUUCGUGGGAGAGGCAAGCACCGGACCGGCUAAUGGUAACUACAAGCUCUUAUUAAUGAAAUAAUAAUGAGUGAACCAGAGAGCAAAUAAGCACCACAUGCGCGAGCCGCCAGCGAUUCCAUUGAAUCAGACUUCAUUUUUUACUAGGUUAAUGCUCGUGCGUUGCUACAGGUGACAAAAAUCAUAUCCCAAAUGUAAUCUUGGAAGUUUGGAAGUUGGCAUUGCUGAUGUCUUGUUCGAUUUUCACUUGAGCCACCAUAGCUUGGAACAAAAAUCAUAUCCCAAAUGUAACCACUAUACAGCUCAGCUUCUUUUUUUUUUCACUUGAGCCACCAGUUUGGAAGUUGGAUUUUCAGGCAGAGUGGAUAAAGGGACAUGCCUCGGUGUGUCUUGAUGGGAUCGGCAGGGGAAGGCGCAGGAGGUGCAAGCUGCAGCCAAAUUUAGGGGAUGAAGAUUGAAGAGCAAAAAGAGUGACCUGGGGCAAGGGGUUCCUCCCAUCAAGGCUUCUUUAGAACAGAAAUCCAAACAUUUAGUUAUUAUCUGUUAUCCUUUUGAGUUUCUGUUAUGGCAAUAUUGGGAGUGACCCUGACAGAACGUCCCUGGUGCUGCAAAACAGUUGUAAGAAUUUUUUAUCUUGAUAGUAACCAAUGGACUAAUGGUUCGAGUCCUUGUCUUA